rnacentral:rRNA from 1 species
GACGGGGACCCGCACAAGCGGUGGAUGAUGUGGAUUAAUUCGAUGCAACGCGAAGAACCUUACUACCCUUGACAUGUCCGGAACUUGCCAGAGAUGGCUUGGUGCCCGAAAGGGAAUCGGAACACAGGUGCUGCAUGGCUGUCGUCAGCUCGUGUCGUGAGAUGUUGGGUUAAGUCCCGCAACGAGCGCAACCCUUAUCAUUAGUUGCUACGCAAGGGCACUCUAAUGAGACUGCCGGUGACAAACCGGAGGAAGGUGGGGAUGACGUCAAGUCCUCAUGGCCUUUAUGACCAGGGCUACACACGUACUACAAUGGCCGGUACAAAGGGCAGCAAAGCCGCGAGGUGGAGCCAAUCCCAGAAAGCCGGUCUCAGUUCGGAUUGGAGUCUGCAACUCGACUCCAUGAAGGCGGAAUCGCUAGUAACCGCGAAUCAGCAGGUCGCGGUGAAUACGUUCCCGGGCCUU